GUGCUCCGAAAAUAUAAUGGUGAGGCAGGCAUGUGAUAGAUAUUCCCAUUCCAAAAAAGAGAAAUUGGAAGAAGAAACAGGCAACAAGUCAGUAAGUCCAAGAUCUAAUAGACCAAACUCCAUUAAAAAGUCUUGAGAGUAAUACUCUCAGUUCACUGUUCCACUUCCAGACACCCUGGUUUUGUGGUCUUGCCUUCUGACACGGCUGAGGCAGAAGUCAUGUCUGCUGGACCCAUUGUAUUGGCAAUCGCUCCCACAUCUUGUCAUGACACUGCCUAUACUAGCUCUUUGUGGUGGCUCCACCUAUGCCAUGACCCCUUCUCAAUGGGGUUGAGUAUUGGUCCUCCUCUUGGGAAUCAACGUGUAAAUUUCAAUUUAUUACAGAUACUCAUUAAUUUAAGAUGGGGUUAUAUCCUGAUAAGCCCAUUAUGAGUUGAAAGUAUGGUAGGUGGAAUUAUUGCAUUUAAUACACUGAGCAUCGUAAUUUAGCAGUAGCGCACUGUAGAGUAUUGGUUAUUUCUUCCUCCUGAUUACAUGGCUGACUGGGAACCAUAGCUCACUGCCAGGUAUUGCAGAAGUAUCAUUUUGCUAGCCCAGGAAAAAUCC
rnacentral:lncRNA from 1 species